rnacentral:misc_RNA from 1 species
AUCCAACCAUCAUCAUGAAUACCAGCAAAAUCAAACCAACAAAAAUAAAAUAGAAUCAUACACCAAAAAAGAGAUGAGUAGAUCGAAGAAAAAAUAAAGGCACCAAAAAUAAAGAUAAAAAAUUUGAAUAGACAAGAUAGAGAAAAAUAGAAAAUAAAAGCUCAAAUUUGUCCAUCAAUGGCGCGAAGUGAAAAUAAAGAAGUAUGGAUGGCCUUUAAAGGUCAAAAUCUGACGGUUGCUGCCUUUUCA